rnacentral:rRNA from 1 species
UACGUAGGGUGCAAGCGUUGUCCGGAAUUAUUGGGCGUAAAGAGCUCGUAGGCGGUCUGUCGCGUCUGCUGUGAAAACUCAGGGCUUAACCCUGAGCUUGCAGUGGGUACGGGCAGACUAGAGUGCGGUAGGGGAGACUGGAAUCCUGGUGUAGCGGUGAAAUGCGCAGAUAUCAGGGAGGGAACACCGGUGGGCGAAGGCGGGGUCUCUGGGGCCGUAACUGACGC